UGCAAGUCGAGCGGACAGAUGGGAGCUUGCUCCCUGAUGUUAGCGGCGGACGGGUGAGUAACACGUGGGUAACCUGCCUGUAAGACUGGGAUAACUCCGGGAAACCGGGGCUAAUACCGGAUGGUUGUCUGAACCGCAUGGUUCAGACAUAAAAGGUGGCUUCGGCUACCACUUACAGAUGGACCCGCGGCGCAUUAGCUAGUUGGUGAGGUAACGGCUCACCAAGGCGACGAUGCGUAGCCGACCUGAGAGGGUGAUCGGCCACACUGGGACUGAGACACGGCCCAGACUCCUACGGGAGGCAGCAGUAGGGAAUCUUCCGCAAUGGACGAAAGUCUGACGGAGCAACGCCGCGUGAGUGAUGAAGGUUUUCGGAUCGUAAAGCUCUGUUGUUAGGGAAGAACAAGUGCCGUUCAAAUAGGGCGGCACCUUGACGGUACCUAACCAGAAAGCCACGGCUAACUACGUGCCAGCAGCCGCGGUAAUACGUAGGUGGCAAGCGUUGUCCGGAAUUAUUGGGCGUAAAGGGCUCGCAGGCGGUUUCUUAAGUCUGAUGUGAAAGCCCCCGGCUCAACCGGGGAGGGUCAUUGGAAACUGGGGAACUUGAGUGCACAAGAGGAGAGUGGAAUUCCACGUGUAGCGGUGAAAUGCGUAGAGAUGUGGAGGAACACCAGUGGCGAAGGCGACUCUCUGGUCUGUAACUGACGCUGA
rnacentral:rRNA from 1 species